UAAUUAUUUAACGGGCAUCUCUCUUUUAUUACCCUAACAGCUUAACGAGGAGGAGGAAGGGGGAAGAAAAAAAGAGGGGGAUUAGAGAUUUGCCUNCGAGCGCGCAUCUCGGGGCAGCGCCGGCGGCACCAGCGCCGCGCUGCCGCGGGUUCUCCGCGCCCCCUCCCGCCACCCCCCCGCCGCCAGCCCUCCCCCCGCCGCCCCCUCCCCGCCGCUACCUUCGCCAGGGGAGAGAACGCGGCUCCUGUGCUCAGGCGGGCUCCGGCGGCGCGCGGCGGCGGACGCCCAUCCCCAGCCGCUUUCCGUGCCUCCCCGCCCGGCGAGAACUACUUGUUGGUGGGUUUCCGAUUGGGGGAUGAUUUUCCGCCCUCAGGUAGCUGUUUUGCCUCCCUGCACGCUCAACUCCGAAAGGCGCAAAAGCGGCUCCCGCCGCCCGCUCGGAGACCCCGCUCCCAUCGUUUCACGGGGGAGACGCAGCCCUUCCCCGCCGGGACUGCGAGCCGGCACCGCGGGCGGCAGGCGGAGCCAUGGGCGGCGGGUCGGGGCACCCCGGGGACGGGGCUGCCGCGCUCCCAGCGCCUCUCCGGGAAAGCGGACCCGCGGGUGGACACGCACCUCAUUUGGGGCUGAGGCUCCUCCCCGGGGCGGGGGUAGAGGAGACGGCCCCCGCGCCCCUUCCAGCCCCCCACUCGCAGCCCUCUGGGGCGGAGGGAGGCGACGGCGAAAACAAAUGUCACAUCCCUCCGGAACAAGGCGGCGCCGCCUCCUCCCCGCUGCGCGCAGCUUUGGUUCACUUCGGGGGACCACGCGGGCAGGGAGCGGGGCUGAGGACAGGCGUGUGCCGGAGGAACGCAGGGAUGGCAGCGCCCCGCUACAGAUCUUGCAGAACAUGACAGCCACAUUAUACUGAAGUACAGUGAUGGUAAGUCAGAACCCUACUCUGAAAUUGCAAAAAAAAAAAAAAGAAUUAAUAGAUUAAGUAAAUGUCUGUGAAAUACAACUCUAAGGAGCCAUGGUGUAGUUAAAUUGCAUGGGGCUGGAAACAAAGACAGCAGAAAGUUGUCAUUAUUUUUAAAUUCCAAAACACAAUUGCACUUUUAGAUAACGCAGUUGAAUUAUAAGCUUGGUUUGAUCAAUAACAGAAGCGGUGAAAAAAGGUCUUACUGUAGGAGAAUAGAAAUAAAACUAAGACUGGACAAAGCAGAUGGACAAAAUGCGAACGCUGUCAUGAAAUCAGUCUCCUGUUAGUCCCACAGUAGCAGGCAGGAGUCCCCUCAGCGAGGCACUGCAUACACACAGGUAUGCUUCAUCUGCCUUCCCCCACCCCAGAUCUUCAAUUCUUUGUGAAAUUCUGGGGAAUGUCGUUCUCUCAUCAAA
rnacentral:lncRNA from 1 species